rnacentral:lncRNA from 1 species
AGCAGCCUCUUGGUCACUCACAGGACAGAAGACACACACAUUGCCCAUGGCAACACCACAAGGCCUGUAUUACCGGAAUAGAAACCUCCUCCUUCCUGCAGUGUCCCUUCAAAGCCCAGAGGAUGAUUGUAACCAACUGAGCACAUGGUGUUCCAGCAGACGCCAGACAGCAAACUGUUGGACCAGAUAACCCUGAGAUCUCAGCUCACGGUUAAUUACUCUCAGAUGCAAACAAUUGCUUCUCCGGCCUCCGGAAAGGACACAUGAACAAGAAGCCCUGUCUUCUUACUCAGAGAAGAAAUACCAACAAGGUGCUAGGAGACACAGAGGAAGCCAUGCCUGGGAAGCGGGGUCCCUGCACCCCCAUUUCCAGGAAAACAGACUUCCCUUAUUGUUCUUGUGGGUUAGCUCAGCAAGCCUUCCCAGCAUGUGAGAUCCCUGCAGAUGUUUCAAAGGAUUCUCCAUGUACCCUACAACAUUUCCGGGAACAUUUAUACGCUCUUUCCCCUGCAAUACAGCAUUAAACCUGAGAGGACUAAAAGUCAAGGGAUCUGUCCAAGAGUAGGCUAAGUGUUCGGGAAGCUUUAGACAUUUGUUCCGUACUGAAAAAAGGAACAGCAAAUUAGAAGGUGAAACGCAACUGUCCCCUCAGGUUUCCCUCCUGGCAACAGUGCAG